rnacentral:ncRNA from 1 species
AAAUGUUUGUGAUGAUGCAAUCUACCCGCGGCUAGACGGAAAGACCCAUGAACCUUUACUGUAGCUUUGCAUUGGACUUUGAACCAAUCUGUGUAGGAUAGGUGGGAGGCUUUGAAGCAGGAACGCUAGUUUCUGUGGAGCCGACCUUGAAAUACCACCCUGGUUUGUUUGAGGUUCUAACCUUGGUCCGUUAUCCGGAUCGGGGACAGUGCAUGGUAGGCAGUUUGACUGGGGCGGUCUCCUCCCAAAGUGUAACGGAGGAGUUCGAAGGUACGCUAGGUACGGUCGGACAUCGUGCUAAUAGUGCAAUGGCAUAAGCGUGCUUAACUGCGAGACUGACAAGUCGAGCAGGUACGAAAGUAGGACAUAGUGAUCCGGUGGUUCUGUAUGGAAGGGCCAUCGCUCAACGGAUAAAAGGUACUCUGGGGAUAACAGGCUGAUUCCUCCCAAGAGUUCAUAUCGACGGGGGAGUUUGGCACCUCGAUGUCGGCUCAUCACAUCCUGGGGCUGUAGCCGGUCCCAAGGGUAUGGCUGUUCGCCAUUUAAAGUGGUACGUGAGCUGGGUUUAAAACGUCGUGAGACAGUUUGGUCCCUAUCUGCCGUGGGCGUUGGAAGUUUGAAGGGGGCUGCUCCUAGUACGAGAGGACCGGAGUGGACGAACCUCUGGUGUAUCGGUUGUCACGCCAGUGGCAUUGCCGAGUAGCUAAGUUCGGAAGAGAUAACCGCUGAAAGCAUCUAAGCGGGAAACUCGCCUUGAGAUGAGACUUCCCGGGAACUAGAUUCCCCUAAAGGGUCGUUCGAGACCAGGACGUUGAUAGGUCAGGUGUGGAAGCGCAGUAAUGCGUUAAGCUAACUGAUACUAAUUGCCCGU